CUCUCCCUGCCCCCGCCCUGCCCCGGGCGCACGGGCUGCGGGGGUGGGGACUCUCCCUGAGGUCACCAGGGGCUCCGCCUUGAGGUCACAGCCGCGGGAGGCCGUGCUCGUGCUUUGGAGCUCCAUGUGAUGUGGUCGGUGGAAGACGUCUCCUUUGUCAGAAUCCGCGCUCAGAUUCCCGGAAUAGCUGCCAGACCGACCCCAGCGUUUAGCCCGGGAAGGGGAGGUUGGAGGGCAAUGGCGUGAUCUCAGCUCACCGCAACCUCUGCCUCCUGGGUUGAAGCGAUUCUCCUGCCUCAGCCUUCCGAGUAGCUGGGAUUACAGGCGUGAGCCACUACGCCUGGCUAAUUUCAACCAUUUGAUGAGCCAGCUACUUCUUUUGUGGUUCCCUGUGCAUAUGAAUAAACCCUUUUCUCCUGUUAAU
rnacentral:lncRNA from 10 species